UCCUUGGUGGCUCAGACAGUAAAGAAUCUGCCUACAAUGCAGGAGACCCAGGUUCAAUCCCUGGAUCAGGAA
rnacentral:tRNA from 1 species